rnacentral:rRNA from 1 species
UACGUAGGGUGCAAGCGUUAAUCGGAAUUACUGGGCGUAAAGCGUGCGCAGGCGGUUGUGCAAGACCGAUGUGAAAUCCCCGGGCUUAACCUGGGAAUGGCAUUGGUGGCUGCACGGCUAGAGUGUGUCAGAGGGGGGCAGAAUUCCACGUGUAGCAGUGAAAUGCGUAGAGAUGUGGAGGAAUACCGAUGGCGAAGGCAGCCCCCUGGGAUAACACUGACGCUCAUGCACGAAAGCGUGGGGAGCAAACAGG